CCACUCCAUGAUAUUCUCGACUACAACUUAUUGGGUCUCAAAGCUUGAGGACUAUACCUCUUGUCACAAACCACACCUCGUCUUAUAAAAUAACUUAACUUUAUUAAUCAUAAAAGAGUCGUUGAAGCAUUUCAUCCUUUAAAUGUAAAAUAUAAAAAUAUGUACGAGCUCUAGAUUUUUUUAUUUACAUUGCUAAACAAAAAUACAAAAUAGUAACCUUACUAUUAGGGUCUAACUUUAGAAAUUUCUUCCAUAUCACUACUCACUCUGCAACAGUGUUUUCAAUAUCUAGAGGGUGUUAGAGAUAAAAUAAAAUAUCUCAAUAAGUGAUAUUAUAAAAUCACAGU
rnacentral:lncRNA from 1 species